CUUGUACUCCCUCCAUCCGAAAAUACUUGUCAUUGAAAUGGAUGUAUCUAGAUGUAUUUUAGUUCUAGACACAUCCAUUUUGAGACAAGUAAUUCCAGAUGGAGGGAGUACUUG
rnacentral:pre_miRNA from 1 species